CAAUGGGCUGUGUCGCUACGGCGCCCGCAUCGACUGCUGCUGGGGAUGGACCCGGCGCUCCUGGGGCCACUGCCAACCAGGCGUCUUCGCUCUAACCCACAGAGUAGUCGGGAGAAUACGGUGUCCGCCACAAGCUCUGUGCCAGCACGGGUGUAAGCAUGGAGACUGCGUAGGACCCAGCAAAUGCAAGUGUCACUCCCGG